UACGAAGGGGGCUAGCGUUGCUCGGAAUCACUGGGCGUAAAGGGUGCGUAGGCGGGUCUUUUAAGUCAGGGGUGAAAUCCUGGAGCUCAACUCCAGAACUGCCUUUGAUACUGGUGAGCUUGAGUCCGGAAGAGGUGAGUGGAACUGCGAGUGUAGAGGUGAAAUUCGUAGAUAUUCGCAAGAACACCAGUGGCGAAGGCGGCUCACUGGCCGGUACUGACGCUGAGGUGCGAAAGCGUGGGGAGCAAACAGGG
rnacentral:rRNA from 1 species